AUCAUGGCAAAUAGUUAUCAUGUAACAAAUUAUGGUUGUCGUCUAACAAAAACAUAGGAAAUUGACUUAAAAAGUGAGCUAAAUCUUUCAUAGUCUUUGCAACAUCUUUGAAAUCUCUGAAACUCACCCAAUCCACUUUUGUGCCCACACUAAACUAGACAACCCCUAAAAGAUCCUCUUAGCCUUAUCAGUCAAAAAAGUAGAAGGAUCUUUUUUCCAUCCGAUGUACUUUACUCUGGGCCUUUGAGUCGUUUUGUGACCCUGCCAAAAAUAAAAAUAAUUAGAAAUAAAUAUCAUGAAAUUUGUUUACUUUGUGAUUUUCUAGCAAGUGACAUGGAGACCCCAAAGUUUCAAUUCAAUGGGUGGCAGAUUCUUCAUGCUGCGAAUAUAGGCAGUGGAGAUGGAGGAUUGUCUUUUUCAUAACUAAGAAGUAAAAAGUCUUUUCUCCUUUUCUCUGAAUACCUGACUUUCCCUGCCAGCAAUUCUCAAGAUUAUGGCUAAGUCUCCCUCACUGAAUUUACCAGUCAAAAAAUUUAGAAAGUGGAUUGAAUUAUUCAUUAUGACAUAACCCACUUACAAAUUAAUUAUAAAAGAGUAAAUCUCUGUAUAAGAAAGCCAACAUUUUUCUUGCAUUCUAUUUCUGUGGACUACUUUUUAAAAAAUAUGUUUAUUUUACUCCACUAUAAGUUUGUUUUGAAAAUCUGAAAGACUGAAUUUUGGUAAAUACGGAUCUUGCUUAUUUCCAUUUCCUAGCUAUUACCCAGAGAAUGUACAAAGGAAUAUUUGUAGUUCAUCAGUAAAUGCUAGAAAACAUGCCAUGCCAGGAAGUCUGCAAUAACAUAAGGUAUAUAGCUUCACUGACAAAGAAAAAAUAUCCCUUCUUAAAAAUGAGUUUCAAAAAAGAGUUCUUACUUUUACAAUGCACCAUAAUGCUAUAAAAAAUAACCACCAUGGUUUCCUUUCUUUAAAAGAAAUAAUUUAUAGGCAUUUCAAUUUUCACCAUCAACUGCCACAGCUUAUGAGGUAGAUCAAAAUGCUAUAUGCAAUUACCUGACUUCCACAAAUGCUCCCUUGAAGUGGAAAUAAUGGGAGUUGACUCCCAAUGCCAUAGAUAGCAGCUGUCAUGUGUAUUUGAGAAGUGGGAGCCUAACAGGACCGUAGACAAUGUGGAGACAGAACCAUGUGAGAAAGGCUCUAUUACUAAUGGCAGAUACACUAUUUGUUGCUUUAGCUUUAAAAAGCAGACACAUAUUACGAGCAUAUAAAUGUAUUAUGAACCAUGUAGUCAGUUAACAAGAAGAGCAAGCAUUUAUUGGGAGCGUGCCUGGCACUGUUCUGAGUACUUUAUGUGUUACAACUUUUCUCACUUCAUCACAACAACCUGAUAAAGGUGGUACUAUCAUCUCCACUUUACAGAUGAAGAAACGGAGUCCUAUGCAAGAGCAUUGUCCAAGGUCACACAGUGCAUAAGAGGCUCACUCAUGGGGGAUCGAACCCAGGUUUGCUUCUCUGAGACCCGGACUCCUAACUACUGUGCAGCCCCACAUCCUUGAAAGUUCAGGUGCAGUGACCUCUGCUAUUGCCUAUCAUGGGCCUGAGGUGGGCCUUUGCCUACAGUGAUGACCCAAUGUCCGUGCGGGAGAACAAGACAAGCUUAUUCCAGCCUGCUCCUCAUUCUAGAGACUCGAGGCACAAAACCGUGAAGUGGUGGAGGCAGUGGUGACAGCAAAGAAUGAGAAUAAGUAACACUCGGGCAGCACCUCUGUGGAACCCUAGAGGCUGGAGGCAGCCGAGUCCUGAAACAGGCAGCAAAAGAAGGAAGGAAAACCUGUAACCAUGAAGGCAUAAGGAUUAUGGUGACACAGAAUGAGGUAUGUGUGCCCCUAGGCAUGUGCUUGGAGAGAAACGUGGUGAAUACUCACUGGCACACUGAUUUUUCUGAAGAGUUUUUGGACAAACACUAAAUGUUUGAACUGGUAAGUAAUUUAAAACAUUUUGUAUUAAAACAGGCAUGGCCAUAUUCAGGAAUAGCAUAUUAAAAAGCACAUUGAAUCUAUUCUUGCUGUAUAAGUGAUGUUUGAAAUAGAAUAUCAAACAAAGAUAAAAUAAAUGAUUUCAAACAAACACCAGCCUUGCCUUAGACACUUAGAACCUCCUCCCUUCACCUUCCUCCCUGGAGUCUUCUGCAUCUUCACUGCCUUUGGCCAAUAGAGAUACUUGAAUAGAAAAGUCUGCAAAGCACUGCUGGGUGGAAGUGUGGGAUGGUGGUCAGGAGAUACAAGUUUUAACUUUCUGCUUAAUAAAAAUAAUAAUCCAUUUUUUACUUAUUAAUAGUAAUAACAAUAGUAGCAACAGGCUAGUGUUCAGCCAAUGCUUACUAAGUGCCAAGUACUUUUAAUGCCUUAUUUCAUUUAAAACACACACACACACACACACACACACACACACACACACACACACACAUAUAUAUUUUGAGAUCUGUACUAUUAAUGUGUCAAUUUAUGAGGCACAGACAGCUGAAGUGACACAGGCUAUGGGAUGGAGCUGGCUUUCAAACCCAGGAGUGGGUCUUCCAAAUCUAAUUAAGCAAUGGAACCUCAAGAUGCCCACUAGCUGUGCUGCCCCCAGCUGGGGACACAGGCUGCUGGUCCUAAGCCAAAGCAGUCAGCUUUGCGUUUCACCCGUGGCCUGUGGGGUAGCCGGACAAGAAAAUUUGGCCCCAAAGGCAUGCCUGAGAUUGUGAUGUCCAAUGAUCCCAUUUGUAUUUUCUUGAGAAAGUGUGAAGGUAAGACAAUCAGAAAGAGCGCACCAGGGCCAGAAGCAAUAAAGGGGAAGCAAAGCAGGAAGAGAGGCAGAGGGUGAUGCAGUUAGAAGGAGGCUGUGUCCCAGUGGCCUGAGUCCCUUGGAGAGAUGACAUGGUGGCCAAAUCCCUCGAGCUUCCCUUGAAAAGCUACGUCUGCUCAAUCUGUAACAGUGAGAAAACUUUGCUCUGCCUUUCUGUGGGGCCUGGUGAGCAACUUCCUGACAUGUUUCCUAGGUUUCCUCACCUCCUGUGUAAACUUUCAGUCAUCCUUCAGCAUCCGAGGCCGUGUUUCUUCUUUUCAGUCUGGCAGCCCAACACAGUACCAAUUCAGUGUGGGUUCCAGGCAGGUCCCUUCUUCCUCCUGGGUCUCUGGUUUCGCUUCAGUCAGUUAGGCAGUUGUGUGCUCAAGUGAGGACGGUACUGCCCCACUGAGGACACUUGGGAUGUGUGUAUAUAGAGGGGGCAGUUUUGAAGGUCAAAAAAAGAUGGAGGGGCAUUUAGCACCCAGGAACCAUCAAUGCUAAACACUCUGCCAGGCCAUUAGUACCCACGCUGAGAAACACUGGGUGAUCUGGAAUCUUUACAGUGGCUUCUUCCUAUAGAAAUAUAAGUAAAGCCAUUUUAAGUUUUGAAGUUCUGUUAAAUGGGCUUCUUAGAGUUGAAAGUUAAAAUGUUAAAGGGAAGUGAAAAAUAGCUCAUUAUUUAUAUGAAGA